AUUACCAUCUCCUCCACAAACCCAGAAAUUGCCAUGAGUCUGAGGACAGCGAUACUGACGAUCUUCUGGAAAUGUUUUACUCCACUGUCAAGAAACAGAUGGGCAGAUCCACCUAAGAUGUUGUGCAGCACAAGGACAACCAGAAAAAAAAGCCAAGAGGAGUUUGCCCUUCCUCGAAAACCCUCAAGUGGUCUUCACACUGUCUUUCAGCCUGCCAUUCCUGUAAGCAAGAUAAACAUUCAGCAGCUCUGUCUACCUGAGAGCAGCUUCAGAGCCUUCACUGUCCCCAUCAUCACCACCCUCUUCUCCCUAAUCAGCACUGGGACCAGUAUGCUGAGGCAGAGGAGAAGGACAUCCAGCAGAAUUGGACUGCCAC